rnacentral:rRNA from 1 species
UACGGAGGAUCCAAGCGUUAUCCGGAAUUACUGGGCGUAAAGAGUUGCGUAGGUGGCAUAGUGAAGUAGAUAGUGAAAGCGUGUGGCUCAACCAUACAUCCAUUAUCUAAACUGCUGAGCUAGAGUAUGAGAGAGGUAGAUGGAAUUCCCUGUGUAGGAGUGAAAUCCGUAGAUAUAGGGAGGAACACCGAUGGCGUAGGCAGUCUACUGGCUCAUUACUGACACUAAGGCACGAAAGCGUGGGGAGCAAACGGG